GAUGAAGAACGUAGCGAAAUGCGAUAAGUAAUGUGAAUUGCAGAAUUCAGUGAAUCAUCGAAUCUUUGAACGCACAUUGCGCCCGCCAGUAUUCUGGCGGGCAUGCCUGUUCGAGCGUCAUUACAACCCUCAGGCCCCCGGGCCUGGCGUUGGGGAUCGGCGGAAGCCCCCUGCGGGCACAACGCCGUCCCUCAAAUACAGUGGCGGUCCCGCCGCAGCUUCCAUUGCGUAGUAGCUAACACCUCGCAACUGGAGAGCGGCGCGGCCAUGCCGUAAAACACCCAACUUCUGAAUGUUGACCUCGAAUCAGGUAGGAAUACCCGCUGAACUUAAGCAUAUCAAUAAGCGGAGGA
rnacentral:misc_RNA from 1 species